rnacentral:rRNA from 1 species
AAUGAACGCUGGCGGCAGGCCUAACACAUGCAAGUCGAGCGCUUUCCUUCGGGAAGGAGCGGCGGACGGGUUAGUAACGCGUGGGAAUAUACCCUUCACUAUGGAAUAGCCUUUGGAAGCGAAGAGUAAUACCAUAUACGCCCUUCGGGGGAAAGAUUUAUCGGUGAAGGAUUAGCCCGCGUAAGAUUAGAUAGUUGGUGGGGUAAUGGCCUACCAAGUCUACGAUCUUUAGCUGGUUUGAGAGGAUGAUCGGCAACACUGGGACUGAGACACGGCCCAG